UACGGAGGAUCCAAGCGUUAUCCGGAUUUAUUGGGUUUAAAGGGUGCGUAGGCGGCUGCUCAAGUCGAAUGUGAAAACUCGAGGCUCAACCUCGAGCCUGCAUUCGAUACUGGGCGGCUAGAGUCUGGUAGGGGGAUCUGGAAUUCCUGGUGUAGCGGUGGAAUGCGCAGAUAUCAGGAGGAACACCGGUGGCGAAGGCGGGAUCCUGGGCCAGUACUGACGCUGAGGAGCGAAAGCGUGGGGAGCAAACAGG
rnacentral:rRNA from 1 species